UACGGAGGGUGCAAGCGUUAUCCGGAUUUACUGGGUUUAAAGGGUGCGCAGGCGGUAAUUUAAGUCAGUGGUGAAAGCCUACAGCUCAACUGUAGAACUGCCAUUGAAACUGAAUUACUUGAGUGUGGAAGAGGUAGGCGGAAUACAACAUGUAGCGGUGAAAUGCAUAGAUAUGUUGUAGAACACCGAUUGCGAAGGCA
rnacentral:rRNA from 1 species